ACUUAAAUUGAAGAGUUUGAUCAUGGCUCAGAUUGAACGCUGGCGGCAGGCCUAACACAUGCAAGUCGAGCGGUAGCACAGAGAGCUUGCUCUCGGGUGACGAGCGGCGGACGGGUGAGUAAUGUCUGGGAAACUGCCUGAUGGAGGGGGAUAACUACUGGAAACGGUAGCUAAUACCGCAUAACGUCGCAAGACCAAAGAGGGGGACCUUCGGGCCUCUUGCCAUCAGAUGUGCCCAGAUGGGAUUAGCUAGUAGGUGGGGUAACGGCUCACCUAGGCGACGAUCCCUAGCUGGUCUGAGAGGAUGACCAGCCACACUGGAACUGAGACACGGUCCAGACUCCUACGGGAGGCAGCAGUGGGGAAUAUUGCACAAUGGGCGCAAGCCUGAUGCAGCCAUGCCGCGUGUAUGAAGAAGGCCUUCGGGUUGUAAAGUACUUUCAGCGGGGAGGAAGGCGAUAAGGUUAAUAACCUUGUCGAUUGACGUUACCCGCAGAAGAAGCACCGGCUAACUCCGUGCCAGCAGCCGCGGUAAUACGGAGGGUGCAAGCGUUAAUCGGAAUUACUGGGCGUAAAGCGCACGCAGGCGGUCUGUCAAGUCGGAUGUGAAAUCCCCGGGCUCAACCUGGGAACUGCAUUCGAAACUGGCAGGCUAGAGUCUUGUAGAGGGGGGUAGAAUUCCAGGUGUAGCGGUGAAAUGCGUAGAGAUCUGGAGGAAUACCGGUGGCGAAGGCGGCCCCCUGGACAAAGACUGACGCUCAGGUGCGAAAGCGUGGGGAGCAAACAGGAUUAGAUACCCUGGUAGUCCACGCCGUAAACGAUGUCGACUUGGAGGUUGUGCCCUUGAGGCGUGGCUUCCGGAGCUAACGCGUUAAGUCGACCGCCUGGGGAGUACGGCCGCAAGGUUAAAACUCAAAUGAAUUGACGGGGCCCGCACAAGCGGUGGAGCAUGUGGUUUAAUUCGAUGCAACGCGAAGAACCUUACCUACUCUUGACAUCCAGAGAACUUUCCAGAGAUGGAUUGGUGCCUUCGGGAACUCUGAGACAGGUGCUGCAUGGCUGUCGUCAGCUCGUGUUGUGAAAUGUUGGGUUAAGUCCCGCAACGAGCGCAACCCUUAUCCUUUGUUGCCAGCGGUUAGGCCGGGAACUCAAAGGAGACUGCCAGUGAUAAACUGGAGGAAGGUGGGGAUGACGUCAAGUCAUCAUGGCCCUUACGAGUAGGGCUACACACGUGCUACAAUGGCGCAUACAAAGAGAAGCGACCUCGCGAGAGCAAGCGGACCUCAUAAAGUGCGUCGUAGUCCGGAUUGGAGUCUGCAACUCGACUCCAUGAAGUCGGAAUCGCUAGUAAUCGUAGAUCAGAAUGCUACGGUGAAUACGUUCCCGGGCCUUGUACACACCGCCCGUCACACCAUGGGAGUGGGUUGCAAAAGAAGUAGGUAGCUUAACCUUCGGGAGGGCGCUUACCACUUUGUGAUUCAUGACUGGGGUGAAGUCGUAACAAGGUAACCGUAGGGGAACCUGCGGUUGGAUCACCUCCUUACCUUAAAGAA
rnacentral:rRNA from 1 species